AAACAACUCUCAGCAACGGAUAUCUUGGYUCUUGCAACGAUGAAGAACGCAGCGAAAUGGAAAUUUAAUGUGAAUUGCAGAAUUCCGUGAAUCAUCGAGUCUUUGAACGCAAGUUGCGCCCGAGGCUUGUCCGAGGGCAUUUCCGCUAGAGCGUCACC
rnacentral:rRNA from 1 species